rnacentral:rRNA from 1 species
UACGGGGGGGGGCACGCGUUGUUCGGAAUUACUGGGCGUAAGGGGCUCGUAGGUGGCCAACUAAGUCAGACGUGAAAUCCCUCGGCUUAACCGAGGAACUGCGUCUGAUACUGGAUGGCUUGAGUUUGGGAGAGGGAUGCGGAAUUCCAGGUGUAGCGGUGAAAUGCGUAGAUAUCUGGAGGAACACCGGUGGCGAAGGCGGCAUCCUGGACCAACACUGACGCUGAGGAGCGAAAGCCAGGGGAGCAAACGGG